CCUACGGGUGGCAGCAGUGAGGAAUAUUGGUCAAUGGCCGCGAGCCUGAACCAGCCAAGUAGCGUGAAGGAUGACUGCCCUACGGGUUGUAAACUUCUUUUAUCAUGGAGUAAAGUGAGGCUCGUGGCCUUCUUUGUAUGUACUUUAUGAAUAAGGAUCGGCUAACUCCGUGCCAGCAGCCGCGGUAAUACGGAGGAUGCGAGCGUUAUCCGGAUUUAUUGGGUUUAAAGGGAGCGGAGGUGGGUGGUUAAGUCAGUUGUGAAAGUUUGCGGCUCAAACGUAGAAUUGCAAUUGAUACUGGCAGCCGUGAGUGCAGUUGGGGUAGGCGGAAUGCGUGGUGUAGCGGUGAAAUGCUUAGAUAUCACGAAGAACUCCGAUUGCGAAGGCAGCCUACU
rnacentral:rRNA from 1 species